GCUGAGUAUGGUAGUGCAUGCUUAUAAUCCCAGCUACUUGGGAGGCUGAGGCAGGAGGAUUGCAAGGUCAAGGCCAGCCUCAG
rnacentral:sRNA from 1 species